UGUGUGUGUGUGUGUGUGUUUGUGUGUGUGUGUGUGUGUGUGUGUGUGUGUGUGUGNCACACACACACACACACACACACACACACACAGACACACACACACACACACAC
rnacentral:snoRNA from 14 species